rnacentral:rRNA from 1 species
AUUGAACGCUGGCGGCAUGCCUUACACAUGCAAGUCGAACGGCAGCACGGAGCUUGCUCUGGUGGCGAGUGGCGAACGGGUGAGUAAUAUAUCGGAACGUACCCUAGAGUGGGGGAUAACGUAGCGAAAGUUACGCUAAUACCGCAUACGAUCUAAGGAUGAAAGUGGGGGAUCGCAAGACCUCAUGCUCGUGGAGCGGCCGAUAUCUGAUUAGCUAGUUGGUAGGGUAAAAGCCUACCAAGGCAUCGAUCAGUAGCUGGUCUGAGAGGACGACCAGCCACACUGGAACUGAGACACGGUCCAGACUCCUACGGGAGGCAGCAGUGGGGAAUUUUGGACAAUGGGCGAAAGCCUGAUCCAGCAAUGCCGCGUGAGUGAAGAAGGCCUUCGGGUUGUAAAGCUCUUUUGUCAGGGAAGAAACGGUGAGAGCUAAUAUCUCUUGCUAAUGACGGUACCUGAAGAAUAAGCACCGGCUAACUACGUGCCAGCAGCCGCGGUAAUACGUAGGGUGCAAGCGUUAAUCGGAAUUACUGGGCGUAAAGCGUGCGCAGGCGGUUUUGUAAGUCUGAUGUGAAAUCCCCGGGCUCAACCUGGGAAUUGCAUUGGAGACUGCAAGGCUAGAAUCUGGCAGAGGGGGGUAGAAUUCCACGUGUAGCAGUGAAAUGCGUAGAUAUGUGGAGGAACACCGAUGGCGAAGGCAGCCCCCUGGGUCAAGAUUGACGCUCAUGCACGAAAGCGUGGGGAGCAAACAGGAUUAGAUACCCUGGUAGUCCACGCCCUAAACGAUGUCUACUAGUUGUCGGGUCUUAAUUGACUUGGUAACGCAGCUAACGCGUGAAGUAGACCGCCUGGGGAGUACGGUCGCAAGAUUAAAACUCAAAGGAAUUGACGGGGACCCGCACAAGCGGUGGAUGAUGUGGAUUAAUUCGAUGCAACGCGAAAAACCUUACCUACCCUUGACAUGGCUGGAAUCCCCGAGAGAUCAGGGAGUGCUCGAAAGAGAACCAGUACACAGGUGCUGCAUGGCUGUCGUCAGCUCGUGUCGUGAGAUGUUGGGUUAAGUCCCGCAACGAGCGCAACCCUUGUCAUUAGUUGCUACGAAAGGGCACUCUAAUGAGACUGCCGGUGACAAACCGGAGGAAGGUGGGGGUGACGUCAAGUCCUCAUGGCCCUUAUGGGUAGGGCUUCACACGUCAUACAAUGGUACAUACAGAGCGCCGCCAACCCGCGAGGGGGAGCUAAUCGCAGAAAGUGUAUCGUAGUCCGGAUUGUAGUCUGCAACUCGACUGCAUGAAGUUGGAAUCGCUAGUAAUCGCGGAUCAGCAUGUCGCGGUGAAUACGUUCCCGGGUCU